rnacentral:rRNA from 1 species
UACGGGGGGGGGCAAGCGUUGUUCGGAAUACUGGGCGUAAAGCGUGCGCAGGCGGUUUUGUAAGACAGGUGUGAAAUCCCCCGGGCUUAACCUGGGAACUGCGCUUGUGACUGCAAGACUCGAGUACGGCAGAGGGGGGUAGAAUUCCACGUGUAGCAGUGAAAUGCGUAGAGAUGUGGAGGAAUACCGAUGGCGAAGGCAGCCCCCUGGGUCGAUGAC